rfam:Vittaforma corneae ATCC 50505 unplaced genomic scaffold supercont1.15, whole genome shotgun sequence.
GCAUUCGUAGUGUAGUGGUUAUCACAUACCCUUCACAUGGGUAAGGCCCCGGGUUCGAGCCCCGGCGAGUGCA